rnacentral:rRNA from 1 species
UACAGAGGGUGCAAGCGUUGUUCGGAAUUACUGGGCGUAAAGCGCGUGUAGGCGGCGUCGUUAGUCGGAUGUGAAAGCCCUCGGCUCAACCGAGGAAGUGCAUCCGAUACUGCGAUGCUUGAGUGUUGGAGGGGGUGGCGGAAUUCCCGGUGUAGAGGUGAAAUUCGUAGAUAUCGGGAGGAACACCUGUGGCGAAGGCGGC